rnacentral:rRNA from 1 species
UACAGAGGGGCAGCAGUUGUUCGGAAUUACUGGGCGUAAAGGCCAGUAGGCGGCCAACUAAGUCGGAUGUGAAAUCCCCAGGCUUAACCUGGGAACUGCAUCCGAUACUGGAUGGCUUGAAUUCGGGAGAGGGAUGACAGAAUUCCAGGUGUAGCGGUGAAAUGCGUAGAUAUCUGGAGGAAUACCGGUGGCGAAGGCGGCAUCCUGGACCGACAUUGACGCUGAACGGCGAAAGCUAGGGG